AACCAGGGUUACUGAGUUAGCUGGAUAAGUUCAAGUUCAAUGUCCGUGACACACACAACAUUGCAUGUUUAGGCCAAUUGUGCACUAGUGUGUCACUGUAACGCAAGUUGUUGCAUUGAAACACAACACAUCUUUGGGUUAUUUUAACUAACAUUACCUUCGGCGGUCACAGCGAACAAUGCUAAUUUCACAAUGCUACAAAGCUAAUAACAAUAUGACGUAGGUGCUCAUUCCUAAGUCUGCUGAAAAUGGAAGGCGGGUCGAAAACAGAGCUGUUGCGUCCAGUAAACCUGAUACAGUUUUUUGGGAGGUCAACUAAACUGGACUUUUAAAUGCUGGACGCAGUGUGAGGAUAGGUCAUCAUUGUCAAAACAUAUUCAGUCCAGGGGGAACAGGAAGUGCCACCACUCCAUUUCAGGGCCGCAGGAAGUUGUCUAGAACUUGGUUUCUGAGUCUGAGACCUGAGGACAGAACCACACAGUUUCAAUCUUUGUUCCCCAGUCUUUUUUUCUAUUCAGUCUGUAUUAACUCCGCUUUAUUAACUACAGGCCUGCCCCCUUCAUCAAAAAAGAAUCAUUGUCCACAGAAGUAGCAUGCACGUCUUCUGAAAUGCAUACAGCCAGCUGCUACUUUUUACUCUACACCAGCUGAGCUGCACAGCUGUCAUCCCAGAGGACUGCCCAUUUGAAGCAGCUGGUUGACUAUUAUGCACCCCAUUUGACCAGAGAAGAAUCAGUAGUGAUCCAGUCUCCACACAGAGAAGAAUCCACACAAUGUUUUUGACUCUGGGAAGGAAAUGGGAAGCGAGAUUGGGUUGGCCCUGAUACUCACCAACUUGUCCCUGCUCCGCAAUAUUCCCCCACCGUUGCUUUGGGGGUCAUGGAAAUUGUAAGGAAUAACCUUCAAGAGAACAAGAUACACCAGUAUAAU